ACGCGAGAAGACUUUGGAAAAGGCGGUUAAUUUACCCCCUCCUGGUAAUUCUACCAAUAAAGCUAUUUGAUAUGGAUCGACUCGAAGAAGCAACCUGACCGCACUCCGGCUUGAAAGCCUACGUUUGCUGGAAUGACUGAUCUGAUUCCAAGGCGCGUGACAGAUUGGCACUGAUUCCGCUUCCCUCCGAUUUCGAUCUGCU
rnacentral:lncRNA from 1 species